ACGGAAGGCAGCAGUGGGGAAUAUUGCACAAUGGGCGAAAGCCUGAUGCAGCGACGCCGCGUGAGGGAAGACGGUUUUCGGAUUGUAAACCUCUGUCUUUGGUGAAGAAGAAGUGACAUUAGCCGAGGAGGAAGCCACGGCUAACUACGUGCCAGCAGCCGCGGUAAUACGUAGGUGGCAAGCGUUAUCCGGAAUUACUGGGUGUAAAGGGAGCGCAGGCGGGAGAGCAAGUCAGCGGUGAAAUGUAUGGGCUUAACCCAUGAACUGCCGUUGAAACUGUUUUUCUUGAGUGGAGUAGAGGCAAGCGGAAUUCCGAGUGUAGCGGUGAAAUGCGUAGAUAUUCGGAGGAGCACCAGUGGCGAAGGCGGCUUGCUGGGCUCUAACUGACGCUGAGGCUCGAAAGUGUGGGGAGCAAACAGGAUUAGAUACCCUGGUA
rnacentral:rRNA from 1 species